rnacentral:misc_RNA from 1 species
AACGUAGGACGCAAACGUUAUCCGGAGUUACUGGGCGUAAAGCGCGAGCAGGCGGUUAAGUAAGUUACCUAUGAAAGCUCUCGGCUAAACUGGGAGAGGCUAGGUGAUACUGCUUGACUAGAGUGAGAAAGAGGGAAGUAGAAUUCCGGGUGUAGUGGUGAAAUGCGUAGAUAUCCGGAGGAAUACCAGUGGCGAAGGCGGCUUCCUGGUUCUCAACUGACGCUGAGACGCGAAAGCGUGGGUAGCGAACGGG